GUAGUAAUAUAACUGUAUAACAUGAGAAAUACUAGUAACUGAUUUUUUCCAGUUAUUAAUCAAACUGAAUAGAAUUCUUUUAUGGCUUAUAUAUUUAAACUACUGAGGAAUCAUUCUUGAUUAUCUAUAAAUAUGUUUUUAUUAUCAGUCACAGAUAAAUGUUUUAAUCUGUAUAAAUGAAGGUAUAAUCAAGUCUUAGGAUUUAUGACAGAAUAAAAUGAAGAAAUUUUUUAGAGAUGCACAUAAUGAAGACAGUUUUAGGGCCUGAGAUCUUCAAAGAAGGUGCUGGGAUUUGGAUCCUUCAAGGAAUAUUCAGUUUAGGACAGAGAAUAUUCUUCAGUUUGAAAAACCCCAAGGAAAGCAAGGCAAUGAGAACUUUUCCUCACAUUUUUGCUCAUUAGUUGUAAUAAAACUGCAUCAAGUAUCAUCCCUCUUGCUAGGAGCCUGAGGACAUGAAUCCUGGCAAAGCCUGUUUCAGCACCAUUAACACUGACAGUAGAGAGCUCUGUGGAGCAGAUGUGGACCUGCCCUGUCCAUCACAUGAUAUAUUCAGCAUCUUCACUGUGAAAAAUACAGCCAACUUAGCAUUGCCUCUGACCCAGAGUACUUCAAAAGAGAAAGCUGAGGUGAGCACCCAGGAGGAGGCUUCCAGGCCACCAUACCACCACUGUCCCCAGCACAGAGGAGAUGAGCUGCUUGGGUGCCAACAGCAGACCCCUGUUGAAAUGAGAUGAAAUGUAAAUAAGUCUCAAAAAUCAGACUUCCAUAUCACCUAAAGAAACCCCAAAGGGAAAUGAGAUGGAACACUCUGACACUCAACCACCUGGACUCCUUGAACUAGCAACAAAAGAUGAUCUGGAAAAAAUGAAAUCAGAAAUAAUUUUUCAGAUAACAGCAGAGAUUGUGCCCAUAGUGCAAGACAUGAUUAAUAAAUCUAGAGAGGACAAAGAUAGAAAAAAUAGAGGAGGUGAGAAACAUGAUGGAAUCCCAACAUAGGAAACAAAUGGAAUCCACAAAACAAAGAAACAGAUUUCCAGGAGAUUAAAAUCUCCAUUCAAAGCCCAUGCAGCAGAAUGAGCCAAUGUGAGGACAGAAUCUCAGAUAUAGAAAACAAAAUUGCACUUAGUGACCAGGAAAAGAAAAAUUUCUUCAAAAUUGUAAGGGACAACAAGAAAUCAAUCCAGCAGCUGGUAGACAAUGCAAAGAAAAAUCAAAUAAAAAUUGAUCAGAGUCAAUGAAGAAACAGGAGAGAGUACAGAUGACAUAAAAAAAACUGUUCACAGAAGUCAUGGCAGAAAACUUCCCAAGCAAGGAAAAAGAACUUGACAUACAGAUAAGUGAGGAAUGUAGGACUCCAACUAGCAUUGAUCAAAAAACAUCUACACAUAGGCAUAUAAUACUUAGGAUUCCAGAAACCCAACAGAAGAACAAAAUUCUACAAGCAGUUAGAGAAAAGAAACAAAUCACAUAAAAAGGAAAACCCAUCAGAAUAAUAGCAGACUUCUCAAUGCAAAUUCUCAAAGCAAGAAGAGCUUGGAGUGAUGUAUUUCAAGCCCUAAAGGAAAACAGCCACCAACCCAGAUUGAUGUACCCUGCAAAACUAUUUUUCAAAAUUGAUGGAGAAAUAAGAUAAUUUCGUGACGAAGAGCACCUUAGGGACUUCAUGAGUACCAAACCAGCACUCCAAAGCUUUUUAGACAAUAUCCUAGGAAAAGACAAAAAGGAUCACAACUGCAGGAAGCCCAGCAGAAUGAAUCCAUCAGGUGCAACAAGACAUUAAAUGCGAAGGGGAGAAUCCGACAAAAAGAAAAACUCAUGACCAUGAUAAGUCAAUAUGUUAAUCAUAAUCAAUGUUAAUCAUAAUCAAUGUUAAUGAUCUCAAUUCACCAUUCAAAUAAAUAGACUGGCAGAAUGGGUCAAGAAGGAAGAUCCAACAAUAUGAUGCAUACAAGAAACACAAUUCAACAGGAAACUCAUAGAAUGAAAGUUAAAAGGUGGAAAACAAUACUCCAUGUGACAGGAACCUAAAUAAAAGCAGGAGUAGCAAUCCUCUUUGCAGAUCAGGCUAGCUCUGAACUCACCAUGUAGCCCAGCCUGAUCUCGAACUCUGGCGAUCCUCCUGUCUCAGCCUCCUGAGUGCUGGGAUCCACCACGCCCAGCAUAUACUUUUUAGUUUCUGAAAGACAUCAAACUUUG
ensembl:lncRNA